rnacentral:tRNA from 1 species
GUCGGUGUAGCGUAGUGGUAACGCACUUAGAAGCAUGCAGUAACAAGACUAGGAGAUGAAGGGUUCAAUUCCCUUCAUCGACACCA